rnacentral:misc_RNA from 1 species
GGGGCCAAAAAAAAAAAAAGGAGGGGAGAGGCAGCCGCUUAGCAGUAAAAAAGAUAAAAUUUCAAGACGGUCACUUAUUCCGGCAUGGAGAAGGACGCGGCAAAAUCGUAGUAAGGAGAGAUGCAGAUUCCAAAGACACGAACUUUGACGCCAUGGCCCUCUGGUAUCCGGGGGGCAGCCUGUUCGAGCGUCAUUUCACCCCUCAAGCCCGGCUUGUGUGAGGAGCCGUCCGACCUCCUCUUUCGGGGGCGGGACGCGCCCGAAAACAGUGGCCAGGCCGCGUUCCGGCUUCCUGGGCGAUGGGCAGUCAAGCAGCGCCCUCGGCCGGCCGCUCGGCCUUCCCCCAA